UUAAUGUUUAUUUUUUGAGAGAGAGAAACAGAGCGUGAGCGGGGAAGGGGCAGGGAGAGGAGACACAGAAUCUGAAGCAGGCUCCAGGCUCUGAGCUGUCACUACAGAGCCCGACGCGGGGCUUGAACCCACAAACCACAAGACCAUGACCUGAGCCGAAAUCAGGUGCCCAACCGACUGAGCCCCCCAGGCGCCUCUAUAUUAUUAUUUUUAAAGUAGGCUCUACACCCAACACAGGGCUCGAACUCACGGCCCCAAUAAGGAGCUGUGUGUUCUACCGACUAAGCCAGCCGGGCGCCUCGUACAUUUUUAAUUUUUUUUUAAUGUAGGCAUUCAAAGCUAUGGAUUUUGAUCUGAGCACAACCUUCCCUGCAUCCCAUAAACUGUGUACUUUGUGCUUUGAAUUUCAUAGGUCUCAAAAGUGUUUAACUUCCCUCUGACUUCUCCACUGACCCAUUGAUUGUGUUUAUUUAUAUUUGGGAGACAGAGCAUGAACAGGGGAGGGGCAGAGAGAGAGGGAGACACAGAGUCGGAAGCAGGCUCCAGGCUCUGAGCUAUCAGCACAGAGCCCGAUGAGGGGAUCGAACCCACGAGCAGUGAGAUCUUGAUCUGAGCUGAGGUCGGAUGCUCAACCGACUGAGCCAGCCAGGCCCCCCCUCUUUCAAUCAUUUAAAAUACACUGGGGUGCCCGACUGACUCAGUUGAUGGAAUGUGCAAGUCUGGAUCCUGGGGUUGUGGGUUUGAGCCCCAUGUUGGGUAUAAAGUUUACAUAAAAGUAAAAUCUUUAGGGGCACCUGGGGGGCUCAGUCAGUUGAGUGUCUAUUUGAGCUCAGGACAUGAUCUCACGGUUGUGGGAUUGAGCCCAGUGUCAGGCUCUACACUGAGCAUGCACCCUGCUAAAGAUUCUUUCCUUCUCCUUCUGCCCCUCUCCCCAGCUUGUGCUUACUCUCAAAAAAAAAAAAAAAAACAAAAACAAAAAAAAAACAAACAAAAAAAACUUAAAUAAAAUGCAUUAAUACUUGUUUUGUGGCCUAACGCAGACAAUGGAGAAUGCUCCAUGUGCCCUCGAGGAGCAGGGACACUCUGUUGUCAGGGGCGCUCUCGUCUGUUGGGUCUGCCUGGUUUGUAGCCCUGUUCGUGUCCUCGGUUUCCUCGCUGGUCUUCCCCUAGCGGGUCUGUGCAUCUUGAAGGCGACUAACGAAGUCUCCAACUGCCACUGGAGACCUGGCUAUUUCAUUUGACUCUGCUGUUCGAUGCAUUUGUAACUGUUCUACCUUCUUUGUAACCCUGUCUUUUCUUCCCCGUGGAAAAAUCUUGUUUUCACUGAAUACAAACAAAGCAAGCUGCAUCUACGUUGACCUCUUAAAAGUUUUUUUUUUUUUUAAUUU